AGAGUUUGAUCCUGGCUCAGGAUGAACGCUGGCGGCAUGCCUAAUACAUGCAAGUCGAGCGAUUUACUUCGGUAAAGAGCGGCGGACGGGUGAGUAACGCGUGGGUAACCUGCCCUGUACACGCGGAUAACAUACCGAAAGGUAUGCUAAUACGAGAUAAUAUGCUUUUAUCGCAUGGUAGAAGUAUCAAAGCUUUUGCGGUACAGGAUGGACCCGCGUCUGAUUAGCUAGUUGGUAAGGUAACGGCUUACCAAGGCGACGAUCAGUAGCCGACCUGAGAGGGUGAUCGGCCACAUUGGAACUGAGACACGGUCCAAACUCCUACGGGAGGCAGCAGUGGGGAAUAUUGCACAAUGGAGGAAACUCUGAUGCAGCGACGCCGCGUGAAGGAUGAAGUAUUUCGGUAUGUAAACUUCUAUCAGCAGGGAAGAAAAUGACGGUACCUGACUAAGAAGCCCCGGCUAACUACGUGCCAGCAGCCGCGGUAAUACGUAGGGGGCAAGCGUUAUCCGGAUUUACUGGGUGUAAAGGGAGCGUAGACGGCACGGCAAGCCAGAUGUGAAAGCCCGGGGCUCAACCCCGGGACUGCAUUUGGAACUGCUGAGCUAGAGUGUCGGAGAGGCAAGUGGAAUUCCUAGUGUAGCGGUGAAAUGCGUAGAUAUUAGGAGGAACACCAGUGGCGAAGGCGGCCGUCUGGUCUGUUGCUGACACUGAAGCACGAAAGCGUGGGGAGCAAAUAGGAUUAGAUACCCUAGUAGUCCACGCCGUAAACGAUGAGAACUAGGUGUUGGGGGAAUAACUCAGUGCCGCAGUUAACGCAAUAAGUUCUCCGCCUGGGGAGUAUGCACGCAAGUGUGAAACUCAAAGGAAUUGACGGGGGCCCGCACAAGCGGUGGAGUAUGUGGUUUAAUUCGAAGCAACGCGAAGAACCUUACCAGGCCUUGACAUCCCUUGCAGAGGUAUAGAGAUAUAUCCGAGGUUACCAAGGAGACAGGUGGUGCAUGGUUGUCGUCAGCUCGUGUCGUGAGAUGUUGGGUUAAGUCCCGCAACGAGCGCAACCCUUGUGAUAUGUUACUAACAUUGAGUUGAGGACUCAUAUCAGACUGCCGGUGAUAAACCGGAGGAAGGUGGGGAUGACGUCAAAUCAUCAUGCCCCUUAUGGCCUGGGCUACACACGUACUACAAUGGCGUCUACAAAGAGCGGCAAGCCUGUGAAGGCAAGCGAAUCUCAUAAAGGACGUCUCAGUUCGGAUUGAAGUCUGCAACCCGACUUCAUGAAGCUGGAAUCGCUAGUAAUCGCGAAUCAGCAUGUCGCGGUGAAUACGUUAUCGGGCCUUGUACACACCGCCCGUCAA
rnacentral:rRNA from 1 species